rnacentral:lncRNA from 1 species
UAUGUUCAGCCUCACUAAGGAAAAGAGGAAAGAAAGAAAGAACAAAACCCUAGUUAGAAAAUUCAAGAGAAAAUUUUGGAAUUUCAAGGAAUCAAGUGACGAAAGGUAAGAUUUUUCAAUUUUAGCUUGAGAUCUAUCUUUCUUAAGCAUUCUUUCUCAUUUUCCAUGGUUGAAAUUCAUGAUUUCAUGGUGGAUCCCUUGUUGGCCGAACCUAGGGGGAGAAGAUUUGAUGAUGAAUUUNCAUUUUCCAUGGUUGAAAUUCAUGAUUUCAUGGUGGAUCCCUUGUUGGCCGAACCUAGGGGGAGAAGAUUUGAUGAUGAAUUUAGUUGGAAAACAUGUUAUUCUAGUGUUUUUAGUUGGUUGGUGAUGUGUAGCAUGAAAAGCAAACAAGAAAAAUUCAUGUUCUUCCAUCACCCUCAUUGGCCGAAUCUUCCUUAUGGUAUGUUGAUGGUGGAUUUGAUUUUAUUUCAAGUGAUUUGGUUAGGAACUAAUGAUUUAUGGUAUAAAAAAAUCAAGUAUGAAAAACCAUAGUGUUUAUGUACCCACCAUGGCCGAAUUUCAUAAGGAACCUAGUGAUGAUGAUUCUUGUGAUAUCUUGUGUUAUUUAGUUAGAAUUUAAUGAAUGGUGGUGAUGGAAAUCGAAAAUGGUAAUUUUAAAGUAUAGUUCUUUGGUAAAUAAGUUGAAUAGCAAUGAGAAAGUCAAGCUCAUUGAGACGCUUUGGUGUAUUUUGGGACAUUGGAAGUGUGAUGAAUAUAAUUGGGGUCAAUUUGGAUGUUUUGGUUAAAUCAAAGGUGGAGAGUUCGAAUUAGGUCGAAAAUCGAUCCAUUCCGAUCACAAUUGAACCAACGUGUAACACCGUCUUUAAGUGACUAUCCGAACAACCUCAUGCAUUCAUAUAGAGCCUGAAAUAGAUUUAUAAUGACAUGACACAAUAUAUUGAAUUAUUUGUUGUGUAUUGUGUAUAGGUGGUGAGUCUUCUAACAAGGGUAAAGACAUUAUGCCAAAGGACCAAGAAUAGGAGUAUUUCGAACUCCCGAUAUCGUGAGUAACCUUAUUAUUGUCUUAAUUAUCUAAAGUAGUUUUUAUUCGCUUUUGUGAUUUUAUAGAAAAAUGAGUUUAAAUGGUAAAUCCUUAUGUUUUAUAGGUAAAAUGUGAUUAAAUGAAAUAAGUUUUAUAAAUCAUUUUGAAAUUAAAUGAUGAUUUUAGAAAUUGAGUAAUUGGAGACUGUUUGAUUGUGUUGUAAUUUAUGGUUUGAAUUGAAUGGCUUAUGGUGAUAUUGGCAUGCUUAUGGUGAUAUUGGCAUGAAUGGCUGAAUUGGAAAUUGUUUUGAAAUUGUAUGAAUUGUUUGUUUUGCCUUAACAGGCUGGGUAGUAAUAUAAUUGCAAUGUCAUGCUGUCGAAACUUUUAUUGAUUUGGUGGGAUAUUGAUUAGUCACUGCAGUGGUGGGUUUCAGUGGACCAGCCUAUUAGAAAGGGGCACGGUAAACCCGGUUAUAUUUUACCUCGGUACAAGAGGAGCGGAGGGUAUCUCCUGAGGUAAAGCUUUAGAGUUCACUACAAGCUGAACCACCACGUGAGGGUGAACUUGGCCAACGCCAAGGAACGGCUAUGUUUUAAAACGUACAAAUAUGAUUUAUGGAUAUACGACUUUUCUUUAACAGCCUUGACGGACUCGGUUGGAUGCCCCAGCCAAGGUAUCCCCGAGAAUGAGUUUUGGCGUGAGCCAAAUUUUUAAGAAAUUCAUAAGCCAUGUUGAUUAUUUGAGUGAAAUGAAUUUAUUUUGUUUAGUUGAAAUGAGUUUGAAACGUUAUGAAUCAUAGUACGAUGAACUAUUUUAAGUUGUCUCCAUUUUCUUGACUUUAGAUAUUUUACAUGAUGUUUGUUUACUCACUGAGUUUAUAUAAACUCACCACCCUCCUUGCCACUCAUUUCAGGCUCAGGUUAAUCUGUAGAUAGCUGAUUUCGUCAAGGGCUACAGUUGGAUUUGCAUCCUCAAAAAUCGUAGGUUCGCAGCCUUCGUUACUUUUGGUCCAUUCGGGGGGGGGGGGGGGGCACAUGUCAUUGUAAAUAAAAUUACACACUCUGGCUCACUGUAUUACUGUAUGUACGAAUUUAUUUUGCUUUUACGUUAUAAAAAUUAUUUACGAAUAUCUCUAUAAAUAUUGUUUCAUAAGAAAAUUGAAUAUUUUAUUUAAUAUUUUUAUUUUAUUCUAAUAGCUAUCAGUUCACUUUAAAUGAAUGUUUUAGACAACUAAACUUAUUUUUGGUUAUGAAAUAUGUAUUUUUCACUCAUAUACUACAUUUUUAGAUGGUUUCAAAAUUUUCAGGGAAAAAUGACCAAAAUACCCCUAUGAGACGAAAAUUAGUUUUUUAUUGUUUUGGUUUGGAAAUAGCUUAUAAUCUUUUAAAAUAUGAUAUUAGCAACUGUUGCUCGCAGGGGAGGUGAGAAAACUAAUGUUAAAGCCUUGCGGGGUUUCGAUUAGCAUUCCGGGUAAUGAAUGUCUAUCGGGACAUCGCGGCGGUUGUCACGGGCUCGAGGAGGGUACCGGGUCGUGACAUAAAAGGCAUUGCAUUGAGAGGUUAUGCUUGAUCCUUGAAAGGCAUUGUAAAGGUUAAGCUUGAGCCUUAAAAAGUAUUUUUCAUAGUGGAUUUGAAAUUCCUUAGUGAGCUAAGGGUGAGGACGUAGGCAAGGAGGCUAAACUUUUAUAAAACUAUUUUUUCUCUCUUUAUUUUUUACUCCUUGAAU